GGUGGCUCAGUGGGAGAGUGCUUGCCUUGCAUGCAUGAGGCCCUGGGUUCGAUUCCUCAGCACCA
rfam:Dipodomys ordii contig_34792, whole genome shotgun sequence.